rnacentral:rRNA from 1 species
AAACUUACCAGGAGCGACAGCAGGAUGAGGGUCAGGCUGAAGACUUUACCUGACGAGCUGAGAGGAGGUGCAUGGCCGUCGCCAGCUCGUGCCGUGAGGCGUCCUGUUAAGUCAGGCAAGAGCGAGACCCUUGCCGAUAAUUGCUAGCCGCGGUCGCAAUACCGCGGAAGCUAGUUAAUGGGACUGCCGCUGCUAAAGCGGAGGAAGGAGAGGGCUACGGCAGGUCAGUAUGCCCCGAAACUCCUGGGCCACACGCGGGCUGCAAUGGUAGGGACAAUGGGUCCCGACCUCGAAAGAGGAAGGCAAUCCUCAAACCCUACCCCAGUUGUGAUUGAGGGCUGAAACCCGCCCUCAUGAAUAUGGAAUCCCUAGUAACCGCGUGUCAUCACCGCGCGGUGAAUACGUCCCUGCUCCUUGCACACACCGCCCGUCGCUUCACCCGAGUUGGGUUUGGGCGAGGCCGGCUCAAAUUGGGCCGAUCGAACCUAAGUUCGGCAAGGGGGGAGAAGUCGUAACAAGGUAGCCGUA